rnacentral:rRNA from 1 species
AACGAACGCUGGCGGCAUGCCUAACACAUGCAAGUCGAACGAGACCUUCGGGUCUAGUGGCGCACGGGUGCGUAACGCGUGGGAACCUGCCCUUAGGUUCGGAAUAACUCCCCGAAAGGGGUGCUAAUACCGGAUAAUGUCUUCGGACCAAAGAUUUAUCGCCUUUGGAUGGGCCCGCGUUGGAUUAGCUAGUUGGUAGGGUAAAAGCCUACCAAGGCGACGAUCCAUAGCUGGUCUGAGAGGAUGAUCAGCCACACUGGGACUGAGACACGGCCCAGACUCCUACGGGAGGCAGCAGUGGGGAAUAUGGGACAAUGGGCGAAAGCCUGAUCCAGCAAUGCCGCGGGAGUGAUGAAGGCCUUAGGGUGGUAAAGCUCUUUUACCCGGGAUGAUAAUGACAGUACCGGGAGAAUAAGCUCCGGCUAACUCCGU